AUUGAACGCUGGCGGCAGGCCUAACACAUGCAAGUCGAGCGGAUGAAGGGAGCUUGCUCCUGGAUUCAGCGGCGGACGGGUGAGUAAUGCCUAGGAAUCUGCCUGAUAGUGGGGGAUAACGUCCGGAAACGGGCGCUAAUACCGCAUACGUCCUGAGGUAGAAAGUGGGGGAUCUUCGGACCUCACGCUAUCAGAUGAGCCUAGGUCGGAUUAGCUAGUUGGUGGGGUAAAGGCCUACCAAGGCGACGAUCCGUAACUGGUCUGAGAGGAUGAUCAGUCACACUGGAACUGAGACACGGUCCAGACUCCUACGGGAGGCAGCAGUAGGGAAUCUUGGACAAUGGGCGAAAGCCUGAUCCAGCCAUGCCGCGUGUGUGAAGAAGGUCUUCGGAUUGUAAAGCACUUUAAGUUGGGAGGAAGGGCAGUAAGUUAAUACAUUGCUGUUUUGACGUUACCAACAGAAUAAGCACCGGCUAACUUCGUG
rnacentral:rRNA from 1 species